rnacentral:rRNA from 1 species
AACGUAGGAGACGAACGUUAUCCGGAGUUACUGGGCGUAAAGGGCGUGUAGGCGGUUUGUUAAGUCUGGCGUGAAAGCUCUCGGCUAAACCGGGAGAGGUCGUUGGAUACUGGCGAACUAGAGGAUGGUAGAGGCGUGUGGAAUUCCGGGUGUAGUGGUGAAAUGCGUAGAGAUCCGGAGGAACACCGGUGGCGAAGGCGGCAUCCUGGACCGGUAUUGACGCUGAGGCGCGAAAGCUAGGGGAGCAAACGGGG